AUCGGUUUGAAAGUACAGACCCAUUUAUGAUAAGCAAGUUUAAAGCAGUUCACCAUUUAGUGUUAUCCACGAUACCCCUUCAUUGCGAAUUCCUUCUAAUUAGUUCCCAUAAGUACGUACAAAUUUAAAACAAACCUUAAUCUGCCUUAUGGCAACUCUAAAAUUUAAAGGAUUUCAAAUGUCUAAUACAAUGACUGGUUUAGUAAAAUGGUUUAACAAUGAUAAAGGCUUCGGUUUCAUUUCACCAAAAGAUGGCAGCAAAGACGUGUUCGUCCAUUAUUCUGCAAUCCAAGGUACUGAUUUCAAAAGCUUAGAUGAAGGCCAAGAAGUAUCUUUCACCAUCGAAGAUGGUGCUAAAGGCCCAGCAGCUGCUAACGUAGUUGCUCUGUAAGAGUUCACUGUUAUUUUGAUAAAUAAACUAUACUGUUUAUUUAAAUAAAUACAAAGAAUCUUAAAACCUCGCUUAUGCGGGGUUUUUUACG
rfam:Moellerella wisconsensis ATCC 35017 Sequence00018, whole genome shotgun sequence.